UGACCUUAACUCAGAUGUGGCGACCCGCCAAAUUUAAGCAUAUUACUAAAAGGUGGAAAAGAAUAUAAACAGGAUUCCCUCAGUAAUGGUGAGGGAAGAGGCCAGAGCCAAAUCCCUGCCAGGGUGACAUUUGCAGGGAAAUGUGGUAUACUGAAGUCUGUCUCCCCAGUACCGUCAAGGGGGCCCAAGUCCUUGUGAUCAAGACCCAGCCCGCUGAUGGAGUGAGGCUGGUGGCAGUCCCCGGCAUGUCGGGAUCAGGUCUUCCCGGAGUAGGGUUGUUUGUGAAUGCUGCCCAGAGCAGGCGAUAAACCCCAUCUAAGGCUAAACACUGGCACAAGACUGAUGGUGGACAAGUACCAUAAUGGAAAGUUGAAAAGAACUUUGAAGAGAGCGCUCAAGAGGGCGUGAAACCAUUCAGAGGUAAAUGGGUGGGGUCUGCUUGGACCACCAAGAGGAUUCAACUCGGCAGCUGCUCCGGCCACUCAAGUGAGGCAGAUCCACCUCCCCCUCCCAGGGGUGGGGGACCAUCCCCGGGUGCACUGGCUGCUGUUGGGCAUACUUCCUCCUCGGAGGUGCACUACGAUCAUCUGCAGGUUGGCCAAGAAGGCCAUGCAGAAGGUGGCUCCCCUCUAGCAUCAGCCCUCGCCAUGCUCUGGGGUCAUGGGAGAUGACUGCAGCCAUCUCCUGGUGCGACUGUCGAUCGGGCUGGACUAUCCUCAGUGUGGUCUGACCAAUUCUUACUGCUGGGCCAGCGGGCACACCUUGGGUGCCCGGGGUCUGCUCUGAAAUUGAUGACCCACCCGUCCCGUCUUGAAACACGGACCAAGGAGUCUAACAGGUGCAUGAAUCCGAGGGUGGGGCGGAGACCCCACAGCACAAUAAAAGUGAAGGCUGGCGUGAGCCAACUGGGUGGGAUCCCCUUGCCCUGCACGGAGGGCAUUCUGCCGGGCCAUCUCACCCAUCCCAUCGGGGAGUUGGAGUGUGAGCUUAUCUGGUGGGACCCAAAAGAUUGUGAACUAUACCUGGGCAGGGCAAAGCCAGAGGAAACUCUGGUGGAGGUCCGUAGCAGUCCUGAUGUGCGAUUCGGUCAUCCAAACUGGGUAUCAGAGUGAAAGACUAAUCAAACCAUCUAGUAGCUGGUUCCCUCCAAAGUUUCCCUCAGGAUAGCUGCCACUCAGCGAACACAGUUUUAUCUGGUAAAGUGAGUGAUUAGAGGUCUUGGGGCUGAAACAAUCUCAACCUAUUCUCAAACUUUAAAUGGGUAAGAAGCCCGACUUGCUGACUUGGAGCCAAGCGUGGAAUGCGAGCACCCAGUGGUCCACUUUUGAUAAGCAGAACUGGUGCUGCAGGGUGAACCGAAUGCUGGAUUAAGGCACCCAAUGCUGAUGCUCAUCAGACCUCAGAAAAGGUGCUGGCUGAUAAGAACACAGGAUGGUGGCCAUGGAAGUUGGAAUCUGCUAAGGAGUGUGUAACAACUCACCUGCUGAAUCAACUAGCCCUGAAAAUGGAUGGGGCUGGAGCAUUGAGCCCAUACCCUGCUAUCGCCGGCACUGGGAGCCAAGGGGCCUAUGCAGCGAUGAGUAGGAGGACCGCCAUGGUGGCAUUGAAACCCAGGGCUCCAAAGUAGAGAAGAGUUCCAUGUAAACAGCAGAUGAACAUGGAUCAGUUGGUCCUGAGAGAUAGGCAAGUGCAGUUCUGAAGGGACAGGCGAUGGCCUCCGUCACCCUCAGCCGAUCAAAAAGGGAGUUGGGUUCAGAUCCUCGAAUCCAGAACAGUGGAGAAGGGCACCUCGCGGCUUCCAGUGCGGUGACGCAAAUGAUCCUGGAAAAGCUGGUGGGGGCUGCUGGGAGAGUUCUCUUUUCUUUGUAAAGGGCAGGGCACCCUGGAAUGAGUUCACCCUGAGAGAGGUACCCACUCCCUGGAAAGCAUCAUCGUUCUGACAGCAUCAGGUGAGCUCUCGCCGGCCCUUGAAAAUCUGAGGGAGAGGGUAUAAGUCUCAUGUCAGGCCAUACCCAUAUCCACAGCAGGUCUCCAAGGUGAACAGCCUCUGGCAUGUUAGAACAAUGUAGGUAAGGGAAGUCGGUAAGCCAAAUCAGUAACUUUGGAAUAACGAUUGGCUCUAAUGGCUGCAUCAGUCAGGCUUGGCUAUGAAGCAAGGCUGGGCACGGACCAUGGCUGGAUGAGGCAUUGCCCCCUUGCCAUGCUCCCCCCUCCCUGGGGAGGCCAGGGGGAUGACGGUGGUGACUCUGGAUGCAUUCCGGGCCCUACCUGUGGAUCUCCCUGGCUGUGCCAGGUGCCAGUUCUGACCGGCUUCCUGAAUCAUCCGGCAGCUUGCAGCUGACUUAGAACUGGUUUGGACUAGGGGAAUCCAACUGUUUAAUUAAAACAAAGAAUAGCGAAGGCCCAAGACGAGUGUUGACACAAUGUGAUUUCUGCCCAGUUCUCUGAAUGUUAAAGUGAAGAAAUUCAAUGGAGCAUGGAUAAAUGGUGGGAGUAACUAUGACUCUCUUAAGGUAGCCAAAUGUCUCUUCAUCCAAUUAGUGAUGCACAUGAAUGGAUGAACAAGAUUCCCACUGUCCCUACCUACUAUGUAACAAAACCACAACCAAGGUAACGGGCUUGGCAGAAUCAGCGGGGAAAGAAGAUCCUGUUCAGCUUAACUCUAGUCUGGCACUGUGAAGAGACAUAAGAGUUGUAGAAUAAGUGGGAGCCCUUGGCCACCGGUGAAAUACCACUACUCUUAUAAUGUUUUCACUUACCUGGUGAGACAAUGGGGCGAGCCCCACUGGGGCUCUCACUUCUGGCUCCAAGUGCCUGAGCAUCUGAUUGUGACCUGCUCCCAGGACAGUGACAGGUGGGGAGUUUGAAUGGGGUGGUACACCUGUCAAAGAGUAACACAGGUAUCCUAAGGUGAGCUCAGGGACAACAGAAACCUCCCAUGGAGCAGAAGACCAAAAUCUCACUUGAAACCGUGAAAGCAGGGCCUCAGGAAUGUUCAGGCUUUUUGGGUUUUAAGCAGGAGGGGUCAGAAAAGUUACCACAGGGAUAACUGGCUUGUGGCAGCCAAGCAUUCAUAGCGACAUGGCUUUUUGAUCCUUCAAUGUCGGCUCUUCCUAUCAUUGUGAAGCAGAAUUCACCAAGCGUUGGAUUGUUCACCCACUAAUAGGGAAUGUGAGCUGGGUUUAGACAGUCAUGAGACAGGUUAGUUUUACCCUACUGAUGAUAUGAUGUUGUGAUAGUAAUCCUGCUCAGUAUGAAAGGAACCACAGGUACAGAAAUUUGGUGUAUGUGCUUGCCUGAGGAGCCAAUGGUGCAAAGCUACCAUCUGUGGGAUUAUGACUGAAUGCCUCUAAGUAACAAUCCUACCUAAAUGUAAUGAUACUGCAGUGCCACGGAACUCAGGUUGGUCAGAGAUAGCCAGCCGCAAGGUCGGCGAGGAGUGCAACUCAUCACUGGGUCUGCUGGCGGAUGGAAGGGGGCUGGCUCUCUCCAGCAGUGCACCACAUGUUCAUGGGGAACCAGGUGCUAAAUCAUUUGUAGACAACUUGAUUUUAGGUCAGGGAUUCAUACGUAGCAGAGCAGCAAAAAGCUGCGAUCUAUUGAAAUUCAAGCCUUCGAACCAAGCUUUUGA